rnacentral:tRNA from 1 species
AAAGAAGUAAGCUAUAUAAGCUGUUGGGUUCAUACCCCAAAAAAGACUUAAGUCCUUUUUUU